rnacentral:rRNA from 1 species
CGUAGGUGGCGAGCGUUGUCCGGAUUUACUGGGCGUAAAGCGCGCGCAGGCGGGCUGGUCAGUCCGGGGUGAAAUCUCACGGCUCAACCGUGAGCGGUCCCCGGAUACUGCCAGUCUUGAGGUGUCUAGAGGAGAGCGGAAUUCCCGGUGUAGUGGUGGAAUGCGUAGAUAUCGGGAAGAACACCAGUGGCGAAAGCGGCUCUCUGGGGACCACCUGACGCUGAGGCGCGAAAGCGUGGGGAGCGAACCGGAUUAGAUACCCGGGUAGUCCACGCCGUAAACGAUGAGCACUAGCUGUCGGGGGUAUCGACCCCCUCGGUAGCGCAGCUAACGCGAUAAGUGCUCCGCCUGGGGACUACGGCCGCAAGGCUA